CACGUAGGGUGCGAGCGUUGUCCGGAAUUAUUGGGCGUAAAGAGCUCGUAGGCGGUUUGUCGCGUCGGGAGUGAAAACCAGGUGCUUAACACCUGGCUUGCUUUCGAUACGGGCAGACUAGAGGUAUGCAGGGGAGAACGGAAUUCCUGGUGUAGCGGUGAAAUGCGCAGAUAUCAGGAGGAACACCGGUGGCGAAGGCGGUUCUCUGGGCAUGACCUGACGCUGAGGAGCGAAAGUGUGGGGAGCGAACAGG
rnacentral:rRNA from 1 species